rnacentral:lncRNA from 1 species
GUCCUGAUGUGAUUUCAUAAUUCUGCAAACAUCAUAAAAGGUACUUACACAAAAUGAGAUGGUACAGCUUGCUACGUAUCUAGGCUAUAUUGUAUAGCCUACUGCUCCUAGGCUACAAACCUGUACAGCAUGUUACUGUACUGAAUACUACUCACUAAAAAACCAUUUCUUCACCGGGCACGGUGGCUCAUGCUUGUAAUCCCAGGACUUUGGGAGGCCAAGACCAGCGGAUCACCUGAGGUCAGGAGUUCAAGACCAGCCUUACCAACAUGGAGAAACCCCGUCUUUACUAAAAAUACAAAAUUAGCCAGGUACAGUGACACAUGCCUGUAAUCCCAGCUACUCGGGAGGCUGAGGCAGGAGAAUCGCUUGAACCCAGGAGGCAAAAGUUGCGUGAGCCAAGAUAGCGCCAUUGCAUUCCAGCCUGGGCAACAAGAGCAAAACUCCAUCUCAAAAAACAAACAAACAAACAAACAAACAAAAAACAUCUCUUCAGCUUUGUCAUUUGGAAACAUUUAUUAUUGCACUGGAAGUAAAAUGACAAGAUUCUAUAUUUGGCCAGUUUCCCUCUCAUAACUCAAACUUCCCCUGCAUCUCAUUUUUUUCCAUGUGAAAAUGGAGAAAAAUAAUGCAAUAAUGUUUACAAACUGACACUGAGCACCUCCAAUGAAAGGUGCUGGCAAAUACAAACAUGAGGGGUGCAAAAAUACAAAACAAAACACCCACCACCACCCGCACUGAUCAUCCUGCACAAGUUACUUUUAUCCUUCUGAGCCUCAACAUCUCCCUCUGUAAAUUCAAAGAAACUGGCUAGAAUCGCAUAGGGUGGGGGAGGAUUUGUGGAGGAAAAGUAGGCAUAUAAUAGCUGAAAAAGCAUCGUAGUUGAUCCUCCUGAAUUCUCCAAAGAUCAUCUAUCCAGCUAUACACUUUGGGGGAGAGGAUAAAUUGGUACAACCCCCCAGAAACGGGUGGCAGUUUGGCUCCAUGUCUGCAAAUCAAAAAUGCAGACAUAUCCCUUGACCCAGUAAUUCUACUUCUAAAAGCAUAUUGUUCAGAUAACUUUGCAAAUGAGCACAUAACACAGUAUGUACAAGGACAUUCAUUGCUGUAAGAGAAGAACCUGGAAACAAAUAUUUAACCCAAAGAUGUUACAGUACAGCCAUACAACUAAAUAAGUAAAAGCAUGUCAACAGAAAGAACAAAUAACUCUCUAUAUAUGUUGAUAAUAGAAUGAUUUCCUAAAUAUGUUAAGUAAAAAAACCCAGUAAGGUGUGAGUGGUACGUCCCAUGGUGGGAGGAGUAUGGAUAAGCAGGCACAUAUUUAUAAAGCAACAGUGUCUAUGGAAGGCCAUAUAAACUGAAAACUUCAGCCAUCUCUGGGGAGGAGGUUAGGGAGACAGGAGACUUGGGGCCAGGGUAGGAGGGACAUUUUUCUCUAUAUACUCUUUUGUAUUGCUAGAACUUUUGAAUUUUUCUCUCAUCUGCAUUAAUUAUCUUUUCCCAAAAUUGAGCAGGAUUCUCUCUACACCUUCCUCUGGGUCUAAGAGGCUGUGACUCUACCUCUGUCAGACCCAACCAGUGCCUCCUAUAUUGCAGGGGCAUCUGCAUUUGGCCCUAUAUUGCCCCCAAAUGAUCUUUCCAAAAUUCUUUCAGCCCAAGUCCCUGACCUCCUUUAAAUCCUCUAGUAGCUCUCCAUUGUCCUUACCUGAUCCAGCUAUGAUUAACCUCUUCCCUCCUCCCCAAGGACAGUGGAUUCCUUCCACCACCAAGUUUGCUUGUGCUGCUCCCUCUUGCCUAUGUGUGCAGUCCACCACGCGCAAACUCCUAUGCAUCCUUCAUGAUCCGAAGGCCCCCCCGUCCCAGGAAAGCUUUCCCAAAUCACCCAGGCAGGGGAUGCUCCCUACACAGCCUGGCAGAGGCUCUGCAAAUACACGGCCAAAAUUCAAAUCUUGACUAUUCCCUCAUUUGCCCACUGUUUGGCCUCAGUUUCCAACCCUGUAGAGUAGGAAUAAGCCCUUUUAUGACUGUUGAAAAGACUGAGGGAAUUCAUGGAAAACAUUACAUAGCUUGUCACAAGGCAAAUAAAAAAUAGCUAUUAUUAUUAUCACAAUCUUAUAGCACCUGUGAUGUAUUUAUAUCCACCUGUCCUACAUUAGACUCUGAGUUCCUCAAAGGUUAAGGACUGACUUCCUCACUUUUGUAUCCCAAGCAAUUCACCUGGCAAAGGGAAGACACAUGAAUGUACUGAAGUCAGAGGGGUGGUUUUUCUGGUUCUGUAUUUCACCCAGAUGUUAAGUGGCUAAACAGAGAACAGGCCCCGGGAUCCCACCAUGCCUUACAAUGCACGGUAUCAGCCAGGUCACUUUGAGCAGGCAGAGGUGAAAAGAGACUGAAGGGCUUUUAGUCUUUCAGAGACAGUUUUUUGGAGGCCAGUGGGAUAUGGGACCUACCAGUUCCCACCUGCUGACUGCUUAUGGGGGCUGGGUGGGAUGGACAUGGGGAAGCCGGGAAUCAGAAAUACUAAAAGUCCUGGGCAUGUACUCCAAGCAGGCCUUCAAAACACGAAAAAAUCUCUUGGGAAGUGGAUACCGGGAAAUAAACAGAGCCUAGGCAUAAGAGAGAAGAGAUUGGAAAGAAUCUACAAGACAACUUGGAGGAUUCUCCCACCACGGGAGAUAGAAAGGUGGGCAAGACACAGCUCCUGCCCGCAAGAAGCUUCUCAAAUGAGAAGAACUUUAAAAGAAAAAGUGGAGCUUGGCAGGUAAAGGUGGGGAAGAAAGAGGAUCACAUAAAACAAAAACAUCCCAACAUGUGAGGGGGCAGUCAAGCAGCUCUGAAUACUAGCCAGCAAGCGGGAUGAGGGGAAGGAGAAUUGGAGGAUCCGAUUAGGCUAAAAGUAAAGGAGUAAAUUGAGGCAAGAUUGUCAAGGGCUUUGUAUGACCUGAUAAGGCAUUUUAGGCUUCAUUCAUCCCAUGGGAAAAAGAAAAGCGAGGGAGUUUUUAAGUAAACAAGUGACAGCAUCAGAUCUGUUUCUGAAAGGAGUGGCCAGGCAGGAAGAUGUUCGCCCUUUCCUAGUCAGUCCUCCUCUCGCCCACCAUCUUCUGUUUCUCAGGCUGCCUGCACAGCUAGCAGGUGGCAAACGAAGCCAUCUCCAGGGUGAUGUGGACUGGUUCUAGAGCCGGAAUCCCUCUCCUGAGCAAAGGCUUCUGAUGGCGUUCACCCUGCAGAGGGUGGAUUUGCACAUUCUUCUUUUCCUGUCUUACAAAUAUCAUCAGUGAUCUCAAAAAUAAAAACGAAACCCUCAAGACAGGACUCUGCUCUGCUAUUUUUUUUUUUUAAUCUUCAGGAGAUAUAAUUAGUAACUAAUUUUUUCAAAAAAAAUUUUUUAUUUACCGAAAGUAAAAAGGGAGGGGACCUGCGUUCUCAAUUGGCCUAUUCUGAAUUCUGGGCAGCUCUCAGCCCUUAUUUCCCUUCUUAAACAGCCUCAACAGUUGGGAGAGGGCGGCAAGGAGAGGGGCCUGGGAGACGGGCCGGGGGACCGAGGGAGGUGGACUUGAAGGGAAAGAAAAGUUGGUCACUGCAAAAGCAAAUUUUCUCAUGCCAAGAGUUUUCCUCUUUCCUCCCAUUAAAUGGACCUGAGCAAAUUCUGUUCUCGCCGUUCUAAGUUUCUUCUCUGAGAAUCAACUCUGGCAGUGCCCUGGCCUGGUCCCAGAAGGACGCA